rnacentral:rRNA from 1 species
GAUGAACGCUGGCGGCGUGCCUAAUACAUGCAAGUCGAGCGAACAGACGAGGAGCUUGCUCCUCUGACGUUAGCGGCGGACGGGUGAGUAACACGUGGAUAACCUACCUAUAAGACUGGGAUAACUUCGGGAAACCGGAGCUAAUACCGGAUAAUAUAUUGAACCGCAUGGUUCAAUAGUGAAAGACGGUUUUGCUGUCACUUAUAGCUUGAUCCGCGCCGCAUUAGCUAGUUGGUAAGGUAACGGCUUACCAAGGCGACGAUGCGUAGCCGACCUGAGAGGGUGAUCGGCCACACUGGAACUGAGACACGGUACAGACUCCUACGGGAGGCAGCAGUAGGGAAUCUUCCGCAAUGGGCGAAAGCCUGACGGAGCAACGCCGCGUGAGUGAUGAAGGUCUUCGGAGCGUAAAACUCUGUUAUUAGGGAAGAACAAAUGUGUAAGUAACUAUGCACGUCUUGACGGUACCUAAUCAGAAAGCCACGGCUAACUACGUG